CUGUGCAGUAGUUUAUGGUGAUCACUCCAAACACCAUGAAGUUGACUGGAUGUUUGAUUUUCAUCAUUCUCUGUACAUGUUUUGGGAACACAGCAAGCCAACGAUUGUUCUGUGUGUUCACCAUCUGUUCGUAAUGGAGCUUACGGCACGAAUGCCAAGAAGUACAGCAUGUUGUUUCCAAAUUUCUGGCAGAGUGAAUUGUA